AUCCCAUCUCAGCCUUUUGGCUAAGAUCAAGUAUAGUAUUUCUUAUCAGUUUAAUACACAAUGUUCAUUUUCUCCACUGGUAUUAUACAUUCAUACAACCUAU
ensembl:snRNA U2 U2 spliceosomal RNA